rnacentral:rRNA from 1 species
CAGUCGCCCGGUAAAACGGAGGGUGCAAGCGUUGUCCGGAUUUAUUGGGUUUAAAGGGUGCGCAGGCGGGGGGGUCAGUCCGCGGUGAAGGACGAUCGCUCAACGAUUGCAGUGCCGUGGAUACUGCCCUUCUUGAAUCUGGUUGAGGCCGGUGGAAUUGACCGUGUAGCGGUGAAAUGCAUAGAUAUGGUCAAGAACUCCAAUUGCGAAGGCAGCCGGCUGGGCCAGCAUUGACGCUCAGGCACGAGAGUGCGGGGAUCAAACAGGAUUAGAUACCCCCGUAGUCCCUGUCUCUUAUACA